rnacentral:rRNA from 1 species
UGCACCUGGUGGCGAGUGGCGAACGGGUGAGUAAUACAUCGGAACGUACCUUAUCGUGGGGGAUAACGCAGCGAAAGCUGUGCUAAUACCGCAUACGCCCUGAGGGGGAAAGCGGGGGAUCGAAAGACCUCGCGCGAUUAGAGCGGCCGAUGCCUGAUUAGCUUGUUGGUGGGGUAAAAGCCCACCAAGGCGACGAUCAGUAGCUGGUCUGAGAGGACGAUCAGCCACACUGGGACUGAGACACGGCCCAGACUCCUACGGGAGGCAGCAGUGGGGAAUUUUGGACAAUGGGGGAAACCCUGAUCCAGCAAUGCCGCGUGAGUGAAGAAGGCCUUCGGGUUGUAAAGCUCUUUUGUCAGGGAAGAAACACCGGCUCUAACACAGUCCGGGAAUGACGGUACCUGAAGAAUAAGCACCGGCUAACUACGUGCCAGCAGCCGCGGUAAUACGUAGGGUGCGAGCGUUAAUCGGAAUUACUGGGCGUAAAGCGUGCGCAGGCGGUUAUACAAGACAGGCGUGAAAUCCCCGGGCUUAACCUGGGAAUGGCGCCUGUGACUGUAUAGCUAGAGUGUGUCAGAGGGGGGUAGAAUUCCACGUGUAGCAGUGAAAUGCGUAGAUAUGUGGAGGAAUACCAAUGGCGAAGGCAGCCCCCUGGGAUAACACUGACGCUCAUGCACGAAAGCGUGGGGAGCAAACAGGA